CGGUACCUAACCAAAAAGCCCCGGCUAACUACGUGCCAGCAGCCGCGGUAAUACGAAGGGGGCAAGCGUUAUCCGGAAUUAUUGGGCGUAAAGCGCGCGCAGGCGGUUUCUUAAGUCUGAUGUGAAAGCCCUGGGCUCAACCGGGGAGGGGCAUUGGAUACUGGGGAACUUGAGUGCGGAAGAGAAAAGCGGAAUUCCACGGGGUACGGUGAAAUGCGUAAAAAUGUGGAGGAACACCCCAUGGCGAAGGCGGCUUUUUGGUCUGUACACUGACGCUGAGGCGCGAAAGCGUGGGGAGCAAACAGGAUUAGAUACCCUGGUAGUCCACGCCCUAAACGAUGAGUGCUGAGAUGUUGGAGGGUUUCCGCCCUUUAGUGCUGCAGCUAACGCAUUAAGCACUCCGCCUGGGGAGUACGGUCGCAAGACUGAAACUCAAAGGAAUUGACGGGGGCCCGCACAAGCGGUGGAGCAUGUGGUUUAAUUCGAUGCAACGCGAAGAACCUU
rnacentral:rRNA from 1 species